GACGAACGCUGGCGGCGUGCUUAACACAUGCAAGUCGAACGCUGAAGCUUGGUGCUUGCACUGGGUGGAUGAGUGGCGAACGGGUGAGUAAUACGUGAGUAACCUGCCCUUGACUCUGGGAUAAGCCUGGGAAACUGGGUCUAAUACUGGAUACGACAUGUCACCGCAUGGUGGUGUGUGGAAAGGGUUUUACUGGUUUUGGAUGGGCUCACGGCCUAUCAGCUUGUUGGUGGGGUAAUGGCUCACCAAGGCGACGACGGGUAGCCGGCCUGAGAGGGUGACCGGCCACACUGGGACUGAGACACAGCCCAGACUCCUACGGGAGGCAGCAGUGGGGAAUAUUGCACAAUGGGCGGAAGCCUGAUGCAGCGACGCCGCGUGAGGGAUGACGGCCUUCGGGUUGUAAACCUCUUUCAGCACGGAAGAAGCGAAAGUGACGGUACGUGCAGAAGAAGCGCCGGCUAACUACGUG
rnacentral:rRNA from 1 species